rnacentral:rRNA from 1 species
AGAUGAACGCGGCGGCAUGCUUACACCUGCAAGUCGAACGGCAGCACGGGUGCUUGCACUGGUGGCGAGUGGCGAACGGGUGAGUAAUACAUCGGAACAUGUCCUGUAGUGGGGGAUAGCCCGGCGAAAGCCGGAUUAAUACCGCAUACGAUCUACGGAUGAAAGCGGGGGACUUUCGGGCCUCGCGCUAUAGGGUUGGCCGAUGGCUGAUAGCUAGUUGGUGGGGUAAAGGCCUACCAAGGCGACGAUCAGUAGCUGGUCUGAGAGGACGACCAGCCACACUGGGACUGAGACACGGCCCAGACUCCUACGGGAGGCAGCAGUGGGGAAUUUUGGACAAUGGGCGAAAGCCUGAUCCAGCAAUGCCGCGUGUGUGAAGAAGGCCUUCGGGUUGUAAAGCACUUUUGUCCGGAAAGAAAUCCUUGGCUCUAAUACAGUCGGGGGAUGACGGUACCGGAAGAAUAAGCACCGGCUAACUACGUGCCAGCAGCCGCGGUAAUACGUAGGGUGCAAGCGUUAAUCGGAAUUACUGGGCGUAAAGCGUGCGCAGGCGGUUUGCUAAGACCGAUGUGAAAUCCCCGGGCUCAACCUGGGAACUGCAUUGGUGACUGGCAGGCUAGAGUAUGGCAGAGGGGGGUAGAAUUCCACGUGUAGCAGUGAAAUGCGUAGAGAUGUGGAGGAAUACCGAUGGCGAAGGCAGCCCCCUGGGCCAAUACUGACGCUCAUGCACGAAAGCGUGGGGAGCAAACAGGAUUAGAUACCCUGGUAGUCCACGCCCUAAACGAUGUCAACUAGUUGUUGGGGAUUCAUUUCCUUAGUAACGUAGCUAACGCGUGAAGUUGACCGCCUGGGGAGUACGGUCGCAAGAUUAAAACUCAAAGGAAUUGACGGGGACCCGCACAAGCGGUGGAUGAUGUGGAUUAAUUCGAUGCAACGCGAAAAACCUUACCUACCCUUGACAUGGUCGGAAUCCUGAAGAGAUUCGGGAGUGCUCGAAAGAGAACCGGCGCACAGGU